ACAGAUAAGUGAUUUUGUGAUCGCUAUUGAACGAUAACAUUAUGAACAGUCAAAGAAAAGUAGAAACAUCAUUAAUCAUCCCUUGAAAAAAGUAAUUGAAUGUUUCUACCGUUAUCCCCAGAGGUUAAUUUUUCACCGUACAGCAAAAAGCUUACUUUUUGUAAAAGUUAACAAUUAUUUCACAUUACAUUUAGACAGCUGACAAAAUGCUAUUUUCCAAGAAUAAAAACUCUACAAACUAUUAUAGUAAUAAACGUAUUUUACUACUGGCCAGUAAACUCAACGCAUAGAGGAGACAUGAAAAUAGAUUCAACAUAUUCAGUUUAUGAGCACAAAAAAUUUUAUACCUAAGGCAUCAGAAACAGAAAUCAAAUUCUACUGGGCCAAAACAGUUCAACUUUGAAACGGUCUAAACAUGGGAUAGUCAUGAAAAAAUCAAAAAUUUUGAGAAGUUAAAUUAAUAAAAAUAUUUUAAUACAACUGGUCUUGAAGUAGAAAGGACUUUUAAAAGAACAAAUAUUUAUAUAUAUCCUUAUUGUAACGAUAACCGAUUGGGGCGUUCCGAUUACAAUAGUGUACGAUUCCGUGAAGAACUUACACCCUGCUGUUCCUGCGUUCACGCCCCUUUGACAUACAAUUAGAUGUUUAUAAAUACGUUUCAGUUAAUAGGUACACUAAAACAAACAAGUAUACAUCAGUGGACAAAAUAUAACUUGAAGUAGAAAGAGCAAAAACUAUCAAAAUCGCAACAAGACAAGUAAUUAUUUAUUUGCAAUCUAUGAUCAGAACUGAGUAGUGUACUUACAAUAUAUCUUUCAAAAACACAACAAAGCCAAAAGAUAAUUCAUUUCUACUAUAAUCACAUUAGCCAAAAUAAUAAAUCAGAUAAAA